GGCUUCAUUCCUGUACCUGAUCUAACUUCCAAUAUGCUUCCAGCAAUCAAGGGAUCUGCUAAGUAUGGAGGUGUGAUGCUAUGGUCCAGUACUACGACGACCAAAGUGGAUAUAGCUCUUCCAUCAAGAGCCACGUCUAGAAUCUUUAUUGGUCUUCCGUUGACAUGUUCUAGUAUUACUUCCAUAUAUGUAAUCUUUAUACAUGUAUCAAUAAAUGUUAUAUUUGCAGCUCUCUUGUGCUCUCAAAGAACAUUUGCUUGAACAUUUCACAGUUAUGCAAGGCUAACAUGCCUAAAAAGUUUCAUGGAUGGUUUUUUGCCAUCAAUCAAAAUUUCACCCCGAUUUGAACUGGGCAGGCAACUCUGAAAUGAAAGUUUCUAGGGUGGUCUGGAGAUCUGGCAUGCUUGAACUAAAAGGAAUGUAUUUUUUUUCUUUUUCUUUUUCUAAUUUAAUCUUCCAUUUGAAGAGAACGAUAAUAAGGUCAAUUUUAGCAACCAUUGUUUCUCUCCUUUUCUUAUUCUCAUCUGAGCCUCCACGUAGAUUGCUGGACGCAAAACCAAGCAAAAGUUACAGCAAAGAGACUGGUUUUGAAAAUCUCCUAGUUAAGGCUUUGAAAUUUAUCACUGUUAGUUAAGGCUUCUUUGCUCAACCUGUGUGAAGUUUGUGAGUCUGCACCAGCUAUUUUCCAAAUUGAUCAAAGUCCAUCCAUAAUCAAGCUUCAUUGGACUAAAAUUCAAACUUCACCGUGAAAGAUGACUAGAAAUGGUAUAUGGACAGAGGAGAAAUAUGAACAACGUUUUAUAUUGAAUUUUCCUACAAUGGUCACAAAUGCU
rnacentral:misc_RNA from 1 species